CCCAAGGCUGCCGCCGUUGGGCUAGUAUAUGGCAUGCCUUCGGCAUU
rnacentral:sRNA from 1 species